UACAGGGGGUGCAAACGUUGCUCGGAAUUAUUGGGCGUAAAGCGCGCGUAGGCGGCCGCUUAAGUCGGAUGUGAAAGCCCCUGGCUCAACUGGGGAAGUGCACCCGGAAACUGAGUGGCUUGAGUACUAAAGAGGGUCGCGGAAUUCCCGGUGUAGAGGUGAAAUUCGUAGAUAUCGGGAGGAACACCGGUGGCGAAGGCGGCGACCUGGGUGAGAUACUGACGGCUGAGGCGCG
rnacentral:rRNA from 1 species